GUAGGGAAUCUUCGGCAAUGGACGAAAGUCUGACCGAGCAACGCCGCGUGAGUGAAGAAGGUUUUCGGAUCGUAAAACUCUGUUGUUAGAGAAGAAUGUUGAUUAGAGUGGAAAAUUAAUCAAGUGACGGUAUCUAACCAGAAAGGGACGGCUAACUACGUGCCAGCAGCCGCGGUAAUACGUAGGUCCCGAGCGUUGUCCGGAUUUAUUGGGCGUAAAGCGAGCGCAGGUGGUUUAAUAAGUCUGAUGUAAAAGGCAGUGGCUCAACCAUUGUGUGCAUUGGAAACUGUUAGACUUGAGUGCAGUAGAGGAGAGUGGAAUUCCAUGUGUAGCGGUGAAAUGCGUAGAUAUAUGGAGGAACACCGGUGGCGAAAGCGGCUCUCUGGACUGUCACUGACACUGAGGCUCGAAAGCGUGGGUAGCAAACAGGAUUAGAUACCCGUGUAGUCC
rnacentral:rRNA from 1 species